GCGCCAGUAGGCGGUAGCAUUCGAUGCUCCGUCUAUCAUAUAAGAUGUCCCGUGUGGGGACGCACACUUCUGUGUUUGUUUUUAGUCUUUAAUAGUGUUUAAUUUAGUUUAUUGCUAAUCAAACCGGAUUAUUUUGUUUUAUUGUCUUAUUGUCACAAACUGUGUUGGUUUUAAUUCUGUUUAUUACGGAUCAGCUCGGACUUUUUUAGGUUUUUCCAUUUUUGUUAUUGUGUUGCUAUGGCGAUGUCACGGAUCAUUUUUACGAGAGAUGAGAUCCUUAACAUCAGGGACUCAACACCAUCGGAUUUAUGUCCCAACUUUCUCGCCUCUCCCGUGGACUUACAAGACCUACUUAUCCAAGGCCCUGGUCUCACAGUGAGACGGAGAAAGAGAGGAAAGCGCGCAGGAGCCCAGGUGCGAUUUAGGAAGAGAGGAAUGCGGUCGCCUUUACCGACACAGCUGACCGGCUUUCAGCUGUUACGUGCAGACCGCGAUCCAACUCUUUCAGGCAAAUCAAAAGGCGGAGGUAUUUGUUUCUAUAUAAAACAGUGCUGGUGCAGUGACGUGAAAGUGAUCUUACAAUCCUGUUCUCCCGACUUGGAAUCUUUUUUUAUCACCUGCAAACCGUUUUACUCCCCCCGUGAAUUCACUUAUUUUAUUCUUGCUGGAGUUUACAUCCCACCGCAAGCUGACGUGCGAGAGGCUCAACGUCAACUCGCUGAUCAGAUAUUAGGAGUGGAGAGUAGGAGAGAGAAUACAUAUUCUCCGGUUAUUGUCAUUGGAGAUUUUAAUAAGGGCAACCUCACGCACGAACUCCCGAAAUACAAACAGUUAGUCAAAUGCCCGACCAGGGAGGAGAAUACUUUGGACCACUGCUACAGCACCAUCAGCAGGGCUUAUCACAGAGUCAACCGUUGUGCGAACUAAAUCGCAAAUUGGAUACCAUUCUGGUGAAGUAGGACCGGGCUUAAACGGGCCACGAAUUUUCGGCUAAUUUGGCCUUUUGGAUUCUGGAAAUGGAAGACUACAGAGAGUAUCAGAGAGACUUUAAGGUUGGCAAAAAUUGCAGAGUCGGCCUGACCCAAAGCAAUCGUUAUCUUCAUUCGGCUCCCCUACUUCGGCCUUGGAAGGCUGAUAUCUCUCCUCUCCCUGGUUCUUAUGCAGACGGAUGCCCUGCCACCCUUCCCCCCACCCUCCACCUCCUGUGAACUUUGUCUCUGGUCGGAACUCUUCGAGGUCGUCUCCACGGCGACGGCCGUGUCCUCGUCACCAGCAUCAGACGGGAGAGACACUGUUGAGUCCAUUGGAGAUGGAGUCCUUGAGCUCACACACACGCACACAAGACUGAUUACACACACACCCCCUGGACUCACCGCCUACUGGACUCCCUCCCCCUCCCCUUCCCUCGUUGCAGCACAGUAUGCCGUGAGUGAUGUGAUGCGCCCGUUGGCUGCGUCCGCCUCCCGGUGUCUGAGUUGUGACACCUCCCCUCCCCAACUCCCUUCCCCCCUCCCACAUGUGUUUGUGAUGUUUUUGAUGUGAUGCUUAUGUGUUGAGGUGUUUUUUUGCUAAUCCCUACACUGUGCCCCCCUUAAAGGAGCAUAGUUUGGGGUAUUGACAAUUUUUUUUUCCCCUCGUUACCUUGUUUAGCUUUUUAAACUUUCUUAUAUAACGCGGGCCGCAUGGUUCUUGUUGAACAAGCGCCUGACAGUCUCUCCGUCCCGUCUCCCCACACUGUCUUUUAUGUUUCUUGGACAGAAUGUAACUGGGAAUUUCGUUGCUCUGUUGCUCUGUAACAUGUGCAAUGACAACAAUAAAUUCAAUUAAAUUCAA